rnacentral:rRNA from 1 species
GGGUUGUGAGGUUAAGCGACUAAGCGUACACGGUGGAUGCCCUGGCAGUCAGAGGCGAUGAAGGACGUGCUAAUCUGCGAUAAGCGUCGGUAAGGUGAUAUGAACCGUUAUAACCGGCGAUUUCCGAAUGGGGAAACCCAGUGUGAUUCGUCACACUAUCAUUAACUGAAUCCAUAGGUUAAUGAGGCGAACCGGGGGAACUGAAACAUCUAAGUACCCCGAGGAAAAGAAAUCAACCGAGAUUCCCCCAGUAGCGGCGAGCGAACGGGGAGCAGCCCAGAGCCUGAAUCAGUGUGUGUGUUAGUGGAAGCGUCUGGAAAGGCGCGCGAUACAGGGUGACAGCCCCGUACACAAAAAUACACAUAUUGUGAGCUCGAUGAGUAGGGCGGGACACGUGGUAUCCUGUCUGAAUAUGGGGGGACCAUCCUCCAAGGCUAAAUACUCCUGACUGACCGAUAGUGAACCAGUACCGUGAGGGAAAGGCGAAAAGAACCCCGGCGAGGGGAGUGAAAAAGAACCUGAAACCGUGUACGUACAAGCAGUGGGAGCACGCUUAGGCGUGUGACUGCGUACCUUUUGUAUAAUGGGUCAGCGACUUAUAUUCUGUAGCAAGGUUAACCGAAUAGGGGAGCCGAAGGGAAACCGAGUCUUAACUGGGCGUUAAGUUGCAGGGUAUAGACCCGAAACCCGGUGAUCUAGCCAUGGGCAGGUUGAAGGUUGGGUAACACUAACUGGAGGACCGAACCGACUAAUGUUGAAAAAUUAGCGGAUGACUUGUGGCUGGGGGUGAAAGGCCAAUCAAACCGGGAGAUAGCUGGUUCUCCCCGAAAGCUAUUUAGGUAGCGCCUCGUGAAUUCAUCUCCGGGGGUAGAGCACUGUUUCGGCAAGGGGGUCAUCCCGACUUACCAACCCGAUGCAAACUGCGAAUACCGGAGAAUGUUAUCACGGGAGACACACGGCGGGUGCUAACGUCCGUCGUGAAGAGGGAAACAACCCAGACCGCCAGCUAAGGUCCCAAAGUCAUGGUUAAGUGGGAAACGAUGUGGGAAGGCCCAGACAGCCAGGAUGUUGGCUUAGAAGCAGCCAUCAUUUAAAGAAAGCGUAAUAGCUCACUGGUCGAGUCGGCCUGCGCGGAAGAUGUAACGGGGCUAAACCAUGCACCGAAGCUGCGGCAGCGACGCUUAUGCGUUGUUGGGUAGGGGAGCGUUCUGUAAGCCUGCGAAGGUGUGCUGUGAGGCAUGCUGGAGGUAUCAGAAGUGCGAAUGCUGACAUAAGUAACGAUAAAGCGGGUGAAAAGCCCGCUCGCCGGAAGACCAAGGGUUCCUGUCCAACGUUAAUCGGGGCAGGGUGAGUCGACCCCUAAGGCGAGGCCGAAAGGCGUAGUCGAUGGGAAACAGGUUAAUAUUCCUGUACUUGGUGUUACUGCGAAGGGGGGACGGAGAAGGCUAUGUUGGCCGGGCGACGGUUGUCCCGGUUUAAGCGUGUAGGCUGGUUUUCCAGGCAAAUCCGGAAAAUCAAGGCUGAGGCGUGAUGACGAGGCACUACGGUGCUGAAGCAACAAAUGCCCUGCUUCCAGGAAAAGCCUCUAAGCAUCAGGUAACAUCAAAUCGUACCCCAAACCGACACAGGUGGUCAGGUAGAGAAUACCAAGGCGCUUGAGAGAACUCGGGUGAAGGAACUAGGCAAAAUGGUGCCGUAACUUCGGGAGAAGGCACGCUGAUAUGUAGGUGAAGUCCCUUGCGGAUGGAGCUGAAAUCAGUCGAAGAUACCAGCUGGCUGCAACUGUUUAUUAAAAACACAGCACUGUGCAAACACGAAAGUGGACGUAUACGGUGUGACGCCUGCCCGGUGCCGGAAGGUUAAUUGAUGGGGUCAGCGCAAGCGAAGCUCUUGAUCGAAGCCCCGGUAAACGGCGGCCGUAACUAUAACGGUCCUAAGGUAGCGAAAUUCCUUGUCGGGUAAGUUCCGACCUGCACGAAUGGCGUAAUGAUGGCCAGGCUGUCUCCACCCGAGACUCAGUGAAAUUGAACUCGCUGUGAAGAUGCAGUGUACCCGCGGCAAGACGGAAAGACCCCGUGAACCUUUACUAUAGCUUGACACUGAACAUUGAGCCUUGAUGUGUAGGAUAGGUGGGAGGCUUUGAAGUGUGGACGCCAGUCUGCAUGGAGCCGGCCUUGAAAUACCACCCUUUAAUGUUUGAUGUUCUAACGUGGACCCGUGAUCCGGGUUGCGGACAGUGUCUGGUGGGUAGUUUGACUGGGGCGGUCUCCUCCUAAAGAGUAACGGAGGAGCACGAAGGUUGGCUAAUCCUGGUCGGACAUCAGGAGGUUAGUGCAAUGGCAUAAGCCAGCUUGACUGCGAGCGUGACGGCGCGAGCAGGUGCGAAAGCAGGUCAUAGUGAUCCGGUGGUUCUGAAUGGAAGGGCCAUCGCUCAACGGAUAAAAGGUACUCCGGGGAUAACAGGCUGAUACCGCCCAAGAGUUCAUAUCGACGGCGGUGUUUGGCACCUCGAUGUCGGCUCAUCACAUCCUGGGGCUGAAGUAGGUCCCAAGGGUAUGGCUGUUCGCCAUUUAAAGUGGUACGCGAGCUGGGUUUAGAACGUCGUGAGACAGUUCGGUCCCUAUCUGCCGUGGGCGCUGGAGAACUGAGGGGGGCUGCUCCUAGUACGAGAGGACCGGAGUGGACGCAUCACUGGUGUUCGGGUUGUCAUGCCAAUGGCACUGCCCGGUAGCUAAAUGCGGAAGAGAUAAGUGCUGAAAGCAUCUAAGCACGAAACUUGCCCCGAGAUGAGUUCUCCCUGACCCUUUAAGGGUCCUGAAGGAACGUUGAAGACGACGACGUUGAUAGGCCGGGUGUGUAAGCGCAGCGAUGCGUUGAGCUAACCGGUACUAAUGAACCGUGAGGCUUAACCUUACAACGCCGAAG